UCAACGAAAAAUUCAUUCAAUCUCUAAAUUACACUGGUCGACAAAAGCAAAAUAUAAGUCGUCCCAAAGCUCAAAAUAGUUGCCCUUAAAAGAUUUUCAUUUUUUAACCAUUCCUGUGAAUUUUAAAAAAUGCCGCAUAGUAUACUUAGUACUUAUAAGUAAGGCCCGGAUUUAUGUUGGGGGGAGGGGGUGGUUGUGGCAGAACCUGCAUUUACCCGUGUUAUCAACAAAUAUUAUUCACAAAUUUCUGAGAAGUUUAUUUGCUACUUAAUAAUACUCAGUGAUAUUUGUGCUGAAAUAAUAAUACCAUUAUACAAUUUAGUUUGAUUGUGUUUUAGAACAAGAACAAGACAUGAAUUAUAAUAAAAAAAAAACAUUUUGGUCUAAUGAGUCAGUCGGCAUAUUAAUUGUUAAUUUGUUUACUGGAUCGAUUGCCGUUUUUUUAGUUUUCGGAUACGGAAAGUGUCAUAACGUAUAGGUUUUUUCUCUAUUUCAUACGCGUGGGUGAGGACUGCAACAUUUAUAGUUCGAGCUUGGCGAAAUUGGUGUAGCGAAGUCCAUAAAAACUUAAAGCACUGCAUUACUACAAAUGCAUAUGUUUGUAUUGAAAUAAAUGCGCAUUCUAUAAUAAAAUUCAUCGAAAUCUGCAGAAGUGUAGGUGCCAAUUUUAUAAUUACUGCUCUUUCAAGCCAGCCGUGUGAAAAACUUUUCGGAUAGUUACGAACAAUGGCAACAACAAAUCAAACAGUUGUUAAUUUCACCAUAAAAGAAUUGACAGAAAAACUGAAGCGAAUCCAAAUGAAAUUUGAUAUUAUGUACAGAAACUGUGAUAAAGUUAAUUUUCCAAGUUUGGAAAAAUUGAAAACCCGUUCAGUCCCUGAUUUUCUUCCUUCGGAAGAAGACAUACGUAAUUGCAUAAUAAGAGCCCAAGCCAUUACAAAAGAGAAGUUGUUUGCUGUAGGAAUUCACAGCCCAAAUUUUGAUGCUUCUAUCAGCCGGCAGUGUCAGAACACUACAGAAUUUAUUGAUGUUGAAGCACUCAAUACCUAUGCUGACGAUUAUGGAGAUGUUGACGAUUAUGGAGAUGACGACGAUUUGCAGGAAUUCAACUUUCAAGACAAUGAAACACCCAUCCUAUCUCAUCACCACCCUAUCGAGUUCGUAAAUGUUAAUACAACUGAACUGGAAAAUGAUCAUCUAAAUAAUCCAACAGUGUUUGAAUUAGACAGAAUUUUACCCAACUGUAACGGUUAUGUUAAGGUAACAAAUUGUCGAACUGGACAUAAGCAUACAUUCAGUAUUAUGAACUUAUCUGGAAAUAUUAUAAACAUGAAAAAAGAGUACCUGCUAUAUUUACUAACACCGGGGCGGUACCAAUUGUCAACAGAUAGGCUGGCACGAUUCAAGCAAAAAGAAUUUGCAAAUAAACCAGACCAGCAACUUGAACACAUUUGAUCAAAAAUGUGCUAACCGCAGAAGUAUAUAAUGCUCAACAGUUCAUGGUUCAACAACAUCCAAAGAUAAUGUUUUUAUCACGAUUUGUUUUGUUUAGAAGAUGAAGUAAAUAAAACUAUAAAAAAAAACAAUCAGUAUGAAAUGAAA